AGAAGACGGGAUCUGGAGCAGUUGGUGGAGGGACUCGGGUCAGGUCCAUCGCCGGUGAAGCUCUGCCUCUGCCACCGCUAUGUCGGUCAACGAGCUGUUCGGCGCAGUCCAGGCCUCUCUGGCCGCCGACCAGGACGUCAGGGAGGAUAUACGAAAAGUGGUUCAAGUCCUUGAACAAACAGCUCGUGAGAUUCUAACUCUGCUGCAGACUGUCCACCAAAUAUCCGGCUUUAAAGAAAUACCGAACAAGUGCCAAAAAGCACGGGAACAUUUUGAUACAGUGAAGACGCACCUGGCAGAACUGAAGACCAAGUUCCCUGCAGAUCAGUACUACAGGUUCAAUGAGCACUGGCGGUUCGUACUGCAGCGCCUGAUCUUCCUGGCUGCGUUCGUGGUCUAUCUGGAGUCGGAAACCCUGGUGACACGGGAAGAUGUAGCCGCAAUACUGGGAAUUCAAGUGAAGAGACACAAAGGGUUCCAUCUCGAUAUCGAGGAUUACCUUUCAGGACUUCUGAUUCUCGCCAAUGAACUGUCGCGGCUGGCUCUGAACAGCGUCACCGCGGGCGACUACACGCGGCCUCUGCGCAUCUCCUCCUUCAUCAACGAGCUGGACUCGGGCUUCCGGCUGCUCAACCUGAAGAACGACUCGCUGCGCAAGCGCUACGACGGCCUGAAGUACGACGUGAAGAAGAUAGAGGAGGUGGUGUACGACCUGUCCAUCCGCGGGCUGGGCAAAGGGGACGCGCCCAGCGAAGGCAAGGUGCAGGACAAGUAGCUCCUCGUCAUGCUCUUCCUCCUCCUCCUCCUCCCCCAUCGGUGGAGGCCAUGGGUGUGUGGCGUGGAGGAGGGGAGCGAGUCGGUUGCUGGAUGGCACAACACGCUGGAGUAACUCAGCAGGUCUGGCAGCAUCUCUGGAGAACAUGGACAGGUGACGUUUCUGGUCUGGACCUGUCUUCAGACUGAUUGUGGAGAGGGGAAAGGAAGGUCAUACAUAAGUGAAAGCAGAAUUAGGCCCUUCGGCCCAUCAAGUCUACUCCGCCAUUCAAUCGUGGCUGAUCUAUCUUACCCUCCCGCAUUCUCCUGCAUUUUCCCCCAUAGCCUCUGAGAGCUGGAAGAGAGGAGGGUUCAGUUUCCAGCUUUAUCCCCCCCUUUCCCCCCCCCCCCCCCCCGAUCAUAAUCACGCUAUGUCCUGCCUCCCCUCUCUUUCCUCAGUCGCUCGCUUCCCUUUCCCCGAUACUUAGUCUGAGGAAGGGUCUCGACCCGAAAUGUCACCCAUUCCUUCUCUCCAGAGACGCUGCCUGUCCCGCUGAGUUACUCCAGCACUUUGUGUCUAUCUUCGGUGUAAACCAGCAUCUGCAGUUCCUUCCUGCACCUAAUACCCCCAAGUCCAUUCUGGUAAACCUCCUCUGCACCGUCUCCAAAGCCCCCACAUGCUUCCUGUAAUGGGGGAGUGUUCUAAAACUAGAGCAAAACUCGUCUCCUCAGUUCUCCCGCCUAUCGGCUCUUGCUCCUCACAGGGGAGGAGAGGGAAGGGGAGGUGAGGAGAGGAGAGGAGAGGGGGGAGAGAAGAAGGGAGGAGAGGGAAGGGGAAGAGAGGAGAGGAGAGGAGAGGGGAUACACUUGUGUAUCUCCUCUCUUCUAGCUUUCUUCCCCCCCGCUCCCCUACAAUCAGUCCAAAGUAGGGAGGCAAUGUGAAUCGUCACCCAUCCAUGUUUUCUCCAGCGAUACUGCCCGACCCGUCGAGUAUCCGCAGCUCCGUGUUUCUACGAGUUAUUGGUUGUUGUGGUUGCAAUGGAAAUGGAGAGCAUGUUAUUUAUAUUCCUGCUCUGGCACGGGUGAAAUAAUGUUUGGACCAAGUGUUUAAAGAGCGACGAUGACCUCCAGUGAGAUCAGUAUUACGCAGGUUUGCGCAGGUUUAUCUCUUUCCAAACCACCCAUGGCUUGUUUUAUUGUCGGUGUUGAGCUUCUGUGCCGAUGUACCACUCAUCCCCCGCACUCCACUCUGUGCUCAACCUGUCAUUUAAUUUCCACUUUAUCCCUUGACGAGCUGCAAAGAAAAUAAAAAAUAGAUAUUA